CUUUUUGUGAGUUUGUGCCAAUGCAGAAAAUAUUUCAAUUUAAGUGCCAAGAACAAAACCAAUGAAAACUUUUGAAAACUUAGUGUUGGAAACAACAUCUUUAGAUUUAGAAAUUGAUUUUUGUUUGUUUCCUUAGUUAACAUGCAUAGUAAACUUUGACCUUUCAGAAGAUACUCUAAGUAACCCAAUGGCAAGGUCUUUUGAGAUUAAGUACACACUAGCAUGAGUUAAUUUUAUAUCCCAAAGAUGGUUUCUUUAAUCUUGGUAUUCAUAGUGCAUAUAUUCAAAGGCAUACCAAGUGCACAUUUUCAUAUCUAUGAUCGAUAAACAAUAAUGCCAU
rnacentral:lncRNA from 1 species